rfam:Trichosporon asahii var. asahii CBS 8904 unplaced genomic scaffold scaffold00035, whole genome shotgun sequence.
CUCACCAUAGCUCAGUUGGUAGAGCGUCGGACUGUAAUCUGAUACCUCCGCUUCGUACGAAGCAUUCAAUCCGCAGGUCCUGUGUUCGACUCACAGUGGUGAGA